AUGGAGCUAAACUUGAUUACUGUGGCAACAUUUGCUAUCUGGGUACUAUGUUCCUUGAUUUGCCUAAUUCUGAAAGAACUGAAAGCUCCAUGUUCUAUGUCCUAGUUGUCCGUGAUGACUGAUAGCAUAUUUUUCUGAGGUAAAACAAAUGAUGGAACCUUACUUUAGUUCUAGGUUUUUGUGUCUUCCACCUCAUCAGAGACGCGGUUAUGCAACUUUACUUGUUAGACUUGCAUGUGAGCUCAAAAGGGGUGAAGAUGGGGGUGCCUUUUCAUAUUAUAGCAAGUUCUGGAAUUGGAUCACUCUCUGGAGAGAAAUGAAACACCUCGCUGGACAAUCUUACGAACCAUCAAAAUUUAUAAUAAAAGAACCCCUAGGUGGAGGCUGCCAAUGAAUAGCUACUAGCCUAGGAAUAGAAACAGCCAGUCUCCUGGUCAGCUAUGUACCUGCAAUUGUGAGUGAUCACAGAUUGUGAUAUGUUCUUAGCUUGAAAGAUAGUAUCACAUCUGCCUGACCACAAGCCACUAUGACUCUUUUAAUUAGAGUCUCUCAGUAAGCUGAUUCAACUUCAGAUUAUCAAACCAGCCACAGAUAGUCUUCAAGAUUGAGAUUGCAUGAUGGCUGCCAACCAAUAGUUGCACUCCAAAUCGCUGUUGAGAAAUUGCACUGUAAGAUGACAUGUGAAGCUGCUUCUGGAUGUUGAGAGCAAAGGAUAGGCAGUAUCCAGAUUAGGAAUAAAGCCUGCUAGUUUAUCUCAUGUUGGUGUUCUUGAUACACACAUCCAUAAGAAUUGCCUGAUUCUUGGCAGGAUUGGGAGCUUCAUAGUCUCUUGAAAAUCUGUUGCAUUCUUUGACCAACUGAGUUAUACUGAUGUUUUUUCGUCAUAUCGUUUUAUGUGGUUAUUUAUGUAGUGGGUUUGAUUUUGCACAUCGUUUUUGAACAGGACCUCAGUAGACUGACGGGAUUACAAGUUGAAGAUGUUCGAACCACACUACUGGGUCUGAGAAGACUUGAGAGAAAACAAUGUAAGUUCAAGUAUCAUUUCAGUCUAUACAGUGGGAUCCAUGAUGAAUUCCAGACAGGCAUUGAACUUCACAAUACUGAGAACCUGGAUACCCAAGUUGAUAGAUGUCCUGAGUUUGAUGUGGAUAGUGUGAUGUCGCCUCAUCAUCAAGGAAGAAUGAAAGUUCUUAUCUUUCUGUUUCUGUCUUCCUCGUUCUGUUUAGUAACAUUUAUUCCCCGCUUUCUGUGAACACAUUAUCAUGAGAACUAGAACAGAGCUGUAGAGCAAUGCCUCGCGUAGAUGGUUGUUUUUUCCUUCUGUCACUGUAACAUUUACAGUUUCAGUUUUCUGUUUUGACUGAAAGCGUUUUGUGAAUUUUUAUAUAUAGCGCUUUGUCAAA